AUUGAACGCUGGCGGCAGGCCUAACACAUGCAAGUCGAACGAGUGGCGGACGGGUGAGUAAUGUCUGGGAAACUGCCUGAUGGAGGGGGAUAACUACUGGAAACGGUAGCUAAUACCGCAUACCAUCGGAUGUGCCCAGAUGGGAUUAGCUUGUUGGUGGGGUAACGGCUCACCAAGGCGACGAUCCCUAGCUGGUCUGAGAGGAUGACCAGCCACACUGGAACUGAGACACGGGCCGGACUCCUACGGGAGGCAGCAGUGGGGAAUAUUGCACAAUGGGCGCAAGCCUGACGGAGCCACGCCGCGUGUAUGAUGAAGGUCUUCGGGUUGUAAAGUUCUGUUAUUGGGGAGGCGGUACCUGCUGAAGAAGCCACGGCUAACUACGUGCCAGCAGCCGCGGUAAUAC
rnacentral:rRNA from 1 species